rnacentral:snoRNA from 12 species
GGAUUUAUGAUGAGCUAUGUUUACUGAGCAUGAUGAAAUGAAGCUUGAUAUGAGAACUCUGAGGUCC